UACAGAGGUCUCAAGCGUUGUUCGGAUUCAUUGGGCGUAAAGGGUGCGUAGGCGGAUUGUUAAGUCAGGGGUGAAAUCCUGGAGCUCAACUCCAGAACUGCCUUUGAUACUGGCGAUCUUGAGUCUGGGGGAGGUGAGUGGAACUGCGAGUGUAGAGGUGAAAUUCGUAGAUAUUCGCAAGAACACCAGUGGCGAAGGCGGCUCACUGGCCCGGUACUGACGCUGAGGUGCGAAAGCGUGGGGAGCAAACAGG
rnacentral:rRNA from 1 species